AGUGCUCAUGAAAUUAGCCUAGAAAGAGGCAUUAGAAACUUACUGGCACAGCUGUUCUACAAGGUGAAGUCAUUAGUCAUUAAACUGAUGCUCUACUGCCCAUCCCUGUGCUACACCAGCCAGAAGCAACAACUGUGGGAUUACCUUGCCAACUGGAAGCCGGUCGAUGAGUUGAAACAAACGUGCAGCAGAUGUUUUGGCUUUGGCGUAGUUCGGGGUGUAGGAAGAAGCUCUUCCCAAAGCAGUCCCACUGGUCACGAUUGCAGAGAUCACUCUGCAGAAAAGGUGGACGUGGUUACUCUUGGGCAGCCAUCGGGAAGCUGCGCGCUCCGCCUGGACCAGCACCUCUGGAGAGGAGGUCUGUGCCCGGCCCCAUGCAGGCUCCUACCUGAACACAAAGCUGUAAUGGAGCCCUUCAGUUUGAACCAGAAAUCCUCCAUAUCUGUAAGAGACAGAGUUGGCUAUGAACACUAUACUCUGGGCAAAGCCAAAGCAGAUUCCAUAAACGUUUGCUUUUUUGAUUGCAGCUCUGUAUGGCAUAUCCAGGUUCUUCUCAAAAGCAUCAAUGAACUUUUUUUCUUUCCCUAUCCCAGCCACAGUUCUGAUGUUAGAGAGGGCUUCACUGGAAAUCUGGAGGAGGAAAAAAAACAACAAAAAAGUAAAAUCACCCUGCUUAUCUCAAGUAAUUUUACUCAGAAAUUGGUUUAACAAUGCUGUCGUUUGCCUGGAGUUCAAUAGUAGUUUCAGGGUAUGACAUUUCCUGUAUUUUCAGCAUACACGUGUUUUUAUCACAUAGAAAGAGAUCUCAAUAUAUAAACCAUUAUAAAGUAUGCCAUUCAAUUUCAGGGUAUUUCUUCUGGUCAAAAUUAAGGGUCACAUCCAUUGCAUUAUCACACAACUUGAAGCAGCAGAUAAUUAGGUACAGUGCAUUUGAUUGUUCAGACAAUCUGUUCUGCUUUUCCAUGUUUAACAUGGCUGAGGAACAGUCACAGUGGAGGAACAUUAAGCUUUUUUUGUUUGGAUGCAAUGCUUGAAAAUGAAUUAGAAAAUAGCACCAGACAUAAUCAGUCAUUGCCAAAACUGCUGAAGCAUUGAGUGCCCUUUUUAUCCCAGCCUCUGAGUUGUUCUAUUUAAUAAAAGCUUAAAAAUUGA